ensembl:lncRNA
UUGUUGUUUACCAUUCUAUAUAUAAUAGUUUGCAAUUGCUAGCCCCAAACUCCCACUCUAUCCCUCUCCCUCUCUCCUCCCCCUCUGCAACCACAAGCCUGUUCUCUACAUCUGUGAGUCUGUUUCUGUUUUGUAGAUCAGUUCAUUUGUGCCCUAUUUUAGAUUCCACAUACAAGUGAUAUCAUAUGGUGUUUGUCUUUCUCCUUCUGACUGACUUUACUUAGUAUGAGCAUCUCUAGUUGCAUCCAUGUUGCUGCAAAUGGCAUUGUUUUGUUCUUUUUUAUGGCUGAGUAUUAUUCCAUUGUAUAUAUGUACCACAUCUUAAUUAAUUCAUUUCUCAAUGGACAUUUAGGUUAUUUCCAUGUCUUGUCUAUUGUGAACAGUGCUGCUAUGAGCAUAGGGAUAUAUGUGUCAUUUUGAAUUAUAGUUUUGUCCGGAUAUAUGCCUAGGAGUGGGAUUACUGGAUCAUAUGGUAAGUCUAUUUUUAGUUUUUUGAGGAACCUCCAUACUGUUUUGCUUGGUGGCUACACCAACUUUCAUUCCUACCAUCAGUGUAAGAGGGUACCUUUUUCUCCACACCCUCUCUAGCACUUGUUUAUUUGUAGACUUAUAGAUGAUGGCCAUUCUGACUGGCAUGAGGUGAUAUCUCAUUGUAGUUUUGAUUUGCAUUUCUCUAAUAAUUAGCAACACUGAGCAUCUUUUCAUGUGCCUGUUGGCCAUCUGUAUGUAAGACCCAUUCUCUUAUCACUACCCCAUGCUGCCUCCUUCCUUAUCAUUUAAGGAUCAAAUCAAGUUUCACCUCCAUUCUCCCCAUCCCUGAUUCUUCCAUUCUAAGCAGGCAUCUGUUCCAUACCUCUUCUUGUUGACUCAUUUUGCCUAAUAUUCAUAUUUUAUUUUCCCCUCUAAUCUUCAUUCCACAAAAAAUAAAAGAAAAAAAUUAGUGCCAAGGGCGAGAGAAAUGCUUUCUACUACUUCUGCAACUACCCCUCAUGUGUAUUCUUAAUAUUUUUUGGAUGGUGCUGUGCUAACUUGUAGAGCUUAAGAACACAGCACGGAAGGAAAACUUCUGUUCUUCAAUUUAAGCUGAUACUUCUACAUUCUGCGUAACCUAGUGUCUACAGGGCAAUGCAAGCACUGCUGGGAAAUGGGGCUGUGCAUUCUGGUGGAGGAAGAACUCCUAUUACCAAAGAGAUGGAAGAGGAAGAACAGGCAAAAAGAAACUAGGAAUUUGUCCAAACAGGAAGCCCUGGGUUUUCUUCCUUGCUGACUGAUCACACUUUUGCUUCACAUUCCACAUCUCCUAAAGGCUCCUGCCAUUACUUCACAGCAGGCAUCAGAGCGACUUCCCUUCCUCCAGUUUACAUAGCUGCAGCUGGUCUAGGGGAGCCAGAUCCAGGAGCAAAGAUAUCAGCUGUGCAUAGCUCUAGGUUUUCUCAAAGGGAAACUUCGAAGUAGUUUUCAAAGGUUAAAGGAAACUUGCCAGCCUAGAAGCUGCUGGAAAAAUCCAGCACAUACUUGAUUCCUUUCCAACCUAAGGGGAGUUUCUAAAGGAUGGAGAAGCUAUAGCUCAUUGGAAAGAGAACACCAGGGAAAUCAGAACUCAACAGUGGACAUCUGGAUUUAUAACUGGAAAAACUUCUCUGGUGUUAAAGUUAGGUCUGCCCCUUAAAUUCCACCUUGUGACCAUCCCACUAGAUCUGUUCCACAGCUUUGGUUCCAGCCAUUCAGUUCAUGAGAAUGCAUGGGAGCAUCAACCAAGGAACAGAUGCAGAUUCCCAGGCCCACCCCUUCCAGAGUUUCUAAUUUAAUAGUCUAGGUUUGGCCUGGGAACCUGCAUCCGUUCCUAGGUGAUGCUAAUGGGGCUGAUCCAAGGACAUUUUGAGAACAAUGUCCCUAAGCAAGAAAGAUAUUCAGAUAAAGGAACCUCCCUUCUACAAAGUAUUUGGGAUCAUGAUGGUCUCAAAUCCCCUAUUGCAUUUCUCACUGGAGACCAGAUCACUUUACAGUGACUUCCAGAAAGAGGCCCUCGUGGGAAAGCCCUGAUGCGUUUUGACCAGCUGUGCUGGGUUGGGAGCUAAUUAGGAGGAAAGCUAGAAUGGUCCUGCUUUCCCAGCCAUGUUAUCCAGCAAACCCAGAGACAGUGUGCCAGUAAAGAAAAUUAUACAGAUGAGACCUGGAAGCUGCCAUUUCAUUAGGGAAGGUUUUACCUUUUUCAUUACAGGAAAAAUCUAAUAUUUCCCAUCUCUCCCUUCACCAAAAGUAGGCAAGCAUAAAACCAAAGUCAAUUUCUUACAAUUUAGUAACCUCAGCACCAACCAAUUAUAUUCUAGGACAUGAGAAACAGCUGUUGUAACAUUAGAGCUCGAACAGUUUCAUCUCAGCUAUUUAAAGGGAUAAAAGAGCCAAUAUUUUCAUUCCCUUGUGAUAUUAUCAAGUCAUGAUAAACAACCAAGACUGUAGUAUUAAUUACAUUAAUUUGGAGAGGAGAGAGACCAUUUUAAUUGCUCCAAGCUGGAGAAUAAUUUUUUAUGGGCAGACAAUCAUUCCAUAAAUUCACACUAGAAAGGGUCCUUUGUCUUCUUCUAUCAGCAGCAAAAUUUCUGGAGGCAAAAAAAUGACCACCUCCUUUUAAGGUGGAUUUCAGUAGAAAAAAACAUUCUCACUAUUGCUAUGUGUCAUUCAGUGAACCCUGACUUGUUGAGCUAUUUGAAAGAAAGACACACAGGGGAAGUAUUUUUAUUGAAAUAUUUUGAAAUCAAAAACAAGAAGUAGGACUGACACAGCGAGAUUUAAAUACUUUCUCAUAUACGAAAUGACCCUCCCUCUCAGGGUCAAGAAGACCAAAUGAAUGUGUACAUCAAAAUGUUCUGUAAACUACAGUAUCAUAUAAAAGCAGAAAAGGAGAGGGAAAAAUCAUUUACUGCGUGCCUUCUACAUGGGGCACUGAGCUAGGUGCUUGACUUCUGUGAUCCUAUUUUAAUACUCAUAGAAAUCAUAGGACGAGAAAUAAGAACAUAAAAAGGAGAGAAUGCAAUAAAUAGGUGAGGAAAAUGCCAAUUUGUCAUUGUGGAAGCUAUUCAGAUAAAAGUGUACACACAGUUCCAAUUAAUUAAUGUGAUAUAUGCUAUCCAUGAUAGACAGAUAACCUCACUCACUCCAAAACACACAAUAAAUAUGUACUGACCUGAUGGGUAGUCACAUUACAAAAUCGCCCAAACAUGACCAGUAGUUUUGGUAAUGAAAAUAUAUCUAAGUAAAUCUACCCACUAAGGCUCCUAGGAUUAAAAACUACAUUUGGCUCCAAUGGUUGUGACACAAAGGGAGAAUUUGGGGGAGCUCCAGAAAGUAGCUCCAAAGUACUGUUGAGAGAGUUGCUAUGGCUUUAGACAAACCAUUUGUAACUUGGGGCUUAGAGAGUGCCAUCCAGUUUCUGUAAUUACAUGUUCUAGAAACUCUCCAUGAACACGGCUCACAGUCUUGCAUUUUGCCAGGUUCCCAGCCGUUGCCUCCAGCACUAGUAUGGAGCAAUUGUAGGGAAUGGGUCUUCGAUGCUCUUAAUCCUCUGGAAACUUUAGCUGAGAUAAGAGAAGUUCACACACAACUAGGGAUAUCACACUCAGGAAAUAGAGAUUCAAAGAAACAGAAUGAACACUCUAGGACUGUGCAUUCCCCAGUAGCUGGAACCAGGGACACGGCUAUAAACGCAGAGCCCUCACCGGAGUAUGAAAAACUCCUAAUAUUGCAAAGCUCUGAGCCAGGGGAUCCCUUUUUUAUUUAGAAAUAUCUUCAUAGGAGUUCCCAUCGUGGCUCAGUGGUUAACGAAUCCAACUAGGAACCAUGAGGUUUCAGGUUCGAUCCCUGGCCUCGCUCAAUGGGUUAAGGAUCCGGUGUUGCCGUGAGCAGUGGUGUAGGUCGCAGACAUGGCUCAGAUCCCGCGUUGCUGUGGCUCUGGUGUAGGCUGGCGGCUACAGCUCCGAUUAGACCUCUAGCCUGGGAACCUCCAUAUGCUGCAGGUGCAGCCCUAGAAAAAGGCAAAAAGACAAAAAAAAAGAAAGAAAUAUCUUCAUAGGUUAAAUAUUCAAUAGAGGAUUGCUUUAGCAAAAUGUAGAACAGCCAUAUAAACAAAACAUCAUGCAGUAAAACUGUAUAUGUUAAUAUGGAAUAAUAUGUUAAGUGUAUUGUAAGAGAGAAUGUCAAUUGCAAAACAGCAUUGUUCAAUAUGAUCUCACUUUUAUUUAAAAAUGUAUUCAUGUGAAUGGAAAAAUGUUGGAAGCAUAUAUAAGGAAAUUUUAACACUGGCUAUUACUCGAUAAUGGAACUUCAGUUCAUUUUUAUCAUCUCAUCUACAUUUUCGAAUUUUCUACAGUAAUAUAUAACUUGUAAAAAUAAAAUUUUUCUUAUUAUCAGGACAAUGAUAAAACAUAAUAAAUAACAUUUGUUGAAAGCUUACCACUGCACACAGUGCCUUUGUUUUUCCCCGCAUGGAAUUAUAAGGUUGUUCUUUAGUGGCGGGAGGUGUAACCCCAAACAAGCAAAUAAAUCAAUAUUCAUUGUAGAAUUUCAUUUCUUUCUACUAUUCCUCAGUCAUCUGGAAAUUCAGCUCUUCUUGACUUCUGCCUACAGCCUUCAUUUUGGAGACAGGCAAUAAAAUUAGGGAAAAGGGAGUUCCCAUCGUGGCGAAGUGGAAACGCAUCCAACUAGGAACCAUGAGGUUGCGGGUUUGGUCCCUGGUCUUGCUCAGUGGGUUAAGGAUCCAGCAUUGCCAGGAGCUGUGGUGUAGGUUACAGACGCGGCUCAGAUCUGGUGUUGCUAUGGCUGUGAUGUAGGCCAGCAGCAAGAGCUCUGAUUGGACCCCUAGCCUGGGAACCUCCAUAUGCUAUGGGUGUGGCCCUAAAAAGGACAAAAAAAAAAAAAA